UUCGCUGGGGCUUUCCAGAGAGAGAGAGCCAGGUUUAUAAGAAACACAUAGUGCUGAGGGCUCUGCAGUUGACAGGGAAUAUGCAAAGGGUUAGCCACCUCUCCAUAGAAAGCGAAGCUGAACACUCUAAACUUCACUGUUUUCAACGGAUUGUUUGGCAGUAGGAUAGCCAACUUUUGGUCUCUUGUCUGCCCAAGCUGGAUGCCUGCGUCUGCUGCCAUAAUGAAACUCCCAGUUUGCAUCAUGACAUCACUUUUAUGGGUGCUGGGUCAGUGUAGGACCGCAGAUCCUGUAAUUCAACUGAACUGCAUUGCAGACUGGAACAUUUUGAAAGUUAGCUGCACUGUUGGUUUCCCAAGGAUAGCCUCCAACUGUAUGGUUAUGGAUGCCUUCCUGAAUAAUACAGCUGCAAUUGUUUCUGGAAAUGACACAUUCACUGUUGAUGUCAUGGUUGAAGAAGGAUGGCAGUAUUUCACUGUUAUGACAAACUGCGGUGUAGCAAAUGGAUACUUUAACGUUACACAUGUUGAUGCACUAUCAGGUGAACAUGAUGAAAACAUUGAUGGGAAAUCACUUACUCCUACUGAUGAUCCCCCAGUUCAGACAGGGGCUAUGUGGGCCAUCGGAAUCCUCACUGUAGCAUUGAUUGUUGGCAUAGUCUUAAUGUUUUCAAUGGGGCUCAGGAGGCACUCAAGCUUAUGGAGGUCCAGGAUGUGGACCCAAUCAGCAGACACGGAUGUGGAGCGUAAUGACAGCAGUGAGCCACUCUCAGUGGGUCAGGAACCCACUGAUUGAACACUCACACACCUGUGGUGGCCUCAGACACAGAUGAAGCCUCCAGCUGAUUCCAGAUCCAGACACUGUGCAACUCCAGACGGGGUGAAAGUGAACACUGCCAUCAAGUGUAAGCAGCACAGCACACACAAGCUGCCGCGUGAAGCCACACGCAACACUAAAACACUAAUUUCCAGCACUGUGAGGGAAACAAGAGGAGGCUUGCUGGCGAGCACCAUUCUUUUCCUAAAUAUGUUUUAAUUUGCCAUUUCUGCCCAAUGGGUUAAUAUGUAUGUGUUUUGGGUCUUUUGUGUAUGUGUGUGUGUGUGUGUGUAUGUGUGUGUGUGUGUUUGCAUGGUAUAAGCUUUAGUUUAACUUUAAGUGAACUGCUGCUGAAUUGUUAAUAAGCACGCAGGGUAAGCUAUGUGAUCUGUAGCCCAUGUGAAUGGUUGUGGAAAUACAUACUUACUUCUAUCGAGUGCCAAACUGCUGGUGUUCAGUGUAAAAGGCAUUCACUGUAAAUAUGUACAAUAUAUAUAUAUAAUUUAUAAUCAAUGGUGAAAGAAGGCAUGGGGAAUGGGGAGAUGUUCUAGAACCAGAUCAUGUUCCCCAGGUUUUGCACUUAUUCCAGGCUGAAUCAGGUCUUAUUGGUCUGAUGGAUUAUCAGCUGUUAUUAGCAUAGCAACAUGUUAGCAUUAUCUCUACCAGAUGAGCUUUUGUUCAGGCCAUCCAUUAUAGAUCCAUUAUAACACUAUAACUCUUUGUAGGGCUUCCAGCUGGUAUCUGGACUCAGGUUGAAAUAGCAUUGUAUUGUAGUAGGUGAACAUUAAUUACAGUGCCUGUUCUUCCUAGGCAACUUCUUCUACUUCUUCUUCUUAUUAUUAUUCCGCUGACCACUU